rnacentral:rRNA from 1 species
GACGAACGCUGGAGGCGUGCUUAACACAUGCAAGUCGAACGAUGAAAUGGAGCUUGCUCCAUGGAUUAGUGGCAAACGGGUGAGUAACACGUGAAUAACCUGCCCUUAAUUUUGGAAUAACCCAGGGAAACCUGGGCUAAUACCGGAUAAGUAAACCUGUGGCAUCACAUGGUUUUGGAAAGUUUUUCGAUUAAGGAUGGAUUCGCGGCCUAUCAGCUUGUUGGUGAGGUAAUGGCUCACCAAGGCGACGACGGGUAGCCGGCCUGAGAGGGGGAACGGCCAAACUGGGACUGAGACACGGCCCAGACUCCUACGGGAGGCAGCAGUGGGGAAGAUUGCACAAUGGGCGCAAGCCUGAUGCAGCAACGCCGCGUGAGGGAUGACGGCCUUCGGGUUGUAAACCUCUUUUAGUAGGGAAGAAGCGAAAGUGACGGUACCUGCAGAAAAAGCACCGGCUAACUACGUGCCAGCCGCCGCCGUAA